rnacentral:lncRNA from 10 species
CUUGAUACUUUUGAUUCAGGUGAUCUAGAGGGCAUUUUCACUGGGAUGAGGAUGCUUGCAUGUGUAAUCUUACUUAGAGUUAAUAGAAAAGCCAAGACGAAACUGAUUUGUUUAUGGGGUUGUGCAGACCCAUCUAGACAUUUUCAGUGUCUUGCUUUGAAUAAUUAAGCUACAUUAACUGCAUAAAUAGUUGAGUAUAAAAUUUAAGUAUAAUGGGAAAGAGAUAAAUAAAUCCAAUCCGAGUUCGUCUACAGCUGAUUCAGAGGGGACCAGGCCUUCUGCAAUGAGACAGUAUUCUGCUCUGUCACCCAGGCUGGAAUGCAGUGGUGCAAUCAUAGCUCACUGCAACCUCGACCUCCUGGACUCAAGUGAUCCUCCCACCUCAGCUUCCCAAGUAGCCUGGACUACGCACACACCACCAAGCCUGGCUAAUUUGUUUUCUUUUAUUUUUUGUAGAGAUGGAGUCUAAGUUUCCCAUUCUACAUUUUUUUUUUUUUUAGCUUUGUGGCAGAGGUCAAGAUAAAUACAUUACAUUAUUGGGGAAACACUGUCAGUUCUUCAAUGAAUAUGUGAAAUAAAGCCUGUUGUGUAUAUAUGUAAUUUUUUGUUUAUUAAAUAUGUCACAAAAUAA